ACUUUUUAUUCCAGGCUGCAGUAUUAGUAUAAUAUACCUCUAAAUUGUACGUAGUAUAACCCACCUCUAAAUGAAACUGAUUGAAUGAAGAGUUACUGGCGGAAGCGGUCGGUUUAGUUCCGAACGUCCUAUAAUUUAAUUUUAGUGCUAUUGCAUCCUUGGCCAACAAUAUUCAGCACACAGCUAAGCCUUCUCUUCGAUCUUGAAUCUUCAAUUUUCAUUCAUCUACUCCCUAUUUUUCCUCUUAACUUUUCUUAGAAGAACAUCACCUGCAAAAAAAAAAAAAAAUGCUUUUCUGAUAUUUCAACCAAGUCCCAUCUCACAAACCCUAGUUUAUCAUUCAUAUCCUUGCCCGAAGGCAAAACAGUGUAAAAGAGGAGCACAAAAGUAGAAAAUCUUCCUCAAUCUGAUCAUUAGUAGCCGAAUCUGCUCUGGUCAGAAGAGGAAUUUAAACUUUUUAACUAUUUGCUUUGGGAAUUUCGGUUUUAUUUGUUUAAAAUGGCUGGGAGAAACCGCGUUCCUCGUGAAGCCUUCAAUGACCGGCGUGGAUUCCCCCCCGAGAGGCCGUUCUUUCGUGGUCCUCCUCUGCCACAGCCACCUCAUCCUGCGUUGUUGGAGGAAGAACUUGAAAUGCAGCAUGCUGAAAUUCGAAAGCUUUUGACUGAUAACCACAGGCUGGUAGAAGAUCGAAUGGCUAUACAACAAGAGCUUGUGGCUGCAAAGGAGGAAAUUCAUCGUUUGAAUCUUGUCAUUGGUGAAAUUCGUGCAGAACAGGAACUGCAUUCAAGGGGACUUAUUGAAAAAGGCUUGAAACUGGAGGCAGAUCUUCGUGCAACUGAGCCACUGAAAAAAGAGGCUAUGCAACUCCGCUCAGAAGUUCAGAAACUGAAUAACGUUAAUCAGGAUCUAACUGGCCAGGUUCAGACUCUCAAGAAGGAUAUUACUCGGCUGCAAGCUGAUAAUCAGCAGAUUCCUAUUCUCAGAGCAGAAGUUGAUGGCUUGCACCAGGAGUUGAUGCGUGCAAGGACUGCUAUUGAUUAUGAAAAAAAGGCAAACAUUGAGCUGAUGGAACAGAGACAAGCAAUGGAGAAGAACAUGGUCUCCAUGGCACGUGAAGUUGAAAAGCUACGUGCAGAACUUUCUAGUGUGGAUGCUAGACCAUGGGCUGCAGGUGCACCGUAUGGGAUGAAAUUCAACAGUUCAGAGGGCGCUUUUCCAGCUGGAUAUGGGGCUCAUCUGGGUGCUGCUGACAAGGGUCCUUUUUACGGACCUGGCCCUGCUUCUUGGGAGAAGCCACGCAUGAAUCGUCGCUAGGAAAGUUAUUACUUGAUGGAAGAAGGCUGACAUUGUUACUUCACUUAUGAAGUUCAAAAUAUUGAUCAGCAUGGAGUUCAUCUAUGCAUGCAUGCCGCAUCAGUAAUAUUUAUCUUUAUAAAUUGUUAGUCAUCUUGAACUUCUUACAUGAGAUUCCGUGUUACUUUAUGGUAAUUGGUAGAGGAGGUGGUACCCCCUUAUAUAUAGACAAGUUCUUAAUAUGAUAAUUUGGACUGCUAUUGGAUCCAAUUCUUCAUUGCUUCAUUGCCAGUUUUCUUUUUCUUUUAUCUUUUGGUUGUUUGUUUCUAGAUAAUUUACUAGCAUUGUUGGUUGAUUAUAACUGUUAUUACUUUCAGUUUUAGUGCUGGCCCCUGAAUAGGGUAGUUGUCUGGGGGGUGCUUGAAAUAUAUGGCGCUUAUGAAUGAAGCUUUUGCUUCCAACGUAGAACUUGCAAGUUAAUUGACAUGGUAUGGUUUUUAUUGAUUUGGAAAAAUUCCUGGAACUAUUUUUGUGAAAUAGUAUAUUUUAGAAGGAUGCAAUGAAGUUAUGCCUAGCUGUAGUAAGGUAAUGGAAUGUUGAAUGGCACUCAGAUUCUACAUUUUAGUUUUGGUUAAUGAUUUUAGUUAGUAGGUCUUCUUGUGCAGCACUUGACUAUCUGUGUAUUUUGUUGAGGGUAUGUUUUUCUUGAAAAUUGAAGCAUUGGAAUUGGAUAUUGUUAAUCUUGAGUGCACUAUGGAAGAUAAAUAGGGUAUAAUGUUCUCAUGGUAGAUGGGGAUCUAAUCAUUUUGAGCAUUUACUCUCGGAAGCAGAAAUUGAUGUGGAGGAUAUGAUUCAACUUGCUUCUGAGGGGUCACUUUAUGGACUGUUCAGAGUUGCUCUGUUAAACUUUGAAUGCAUAUUAUUCAUUCUGAGCUGAAUUGAAACCUUGUACCCCUGCGGAAUCCGAUGUGCAGUUUUGGAAUAUCCUUAGGAGGUUGAGUUGCGUGUUUUCCACGAAUAAAAAUUUCUAAGAAUGAAUUGUUAUUUAUUAAUUGAUAUGAUAUGGAUGUUCUGUUGGAUAGAGAGAAUGAUCCCAUGCUACAGAAGUAAAUCAUUUAGGAUGUUCAGGAGCUGAAUUUUUCUGUGAUUUUAUUCGCUCUUGUUUCUUCUUGUCCGCUGACAACAUACUGGGCCUGAAUAUGCUGGUCCUUUGGGAAUUCUUCAAGCUCUGGCAGAUGGAGCAAACUUGCUUCUCAAAGAGAAUAUCCUUCCAUUGAGAGGAAAUGGUUUAUUCAGUAUUGGACCAUCUAUAGCAUCCAUAGCAAUUUUAUUAAGUUUUUCUGUAAUUCCUUUUAGCUCUCGCCUUACUUUAGCUGAUCUCAAUAUUAGUAUUUUCAUGGAUUUCCAUUUUAGGUAUUGCUACAAGGUGUUUGCUGCAAAUUUUAGUGGCUUUGAAUUUAGUUCAUUGGUGUUCUCCUUGCUAGGAAAUCUUAAGAGGAGAAUCAUUUGUCUUUCUUACAUUUACUGUAAAGUCCCUUCAGUAUCCAUUGCCAGGUUCUCUUUGAAGUUCGGAGGUGCAAGUGUCGUAGGGAAUCUUAAAAUGGCAUGUUGUGUGAGCAGGACUUGUUUGGAAAUCAUGUUGGGAAUGGUUCUCAUUUCUUUUUGGAAUAUAUGACAUGGAAAACUGGUGCGGAGUUCCCCCAAUGGAGUCUUGAGAUUGUUCUGAAGAGCAGGACCGUUGGUUUGACUUCUAAUGGAUUUUGACUUGAAGUAUCUUGUAUAGAGAAAGUACUAAUCUUGGUAUGGUUUGCAGAACUUCUUAUAAUUACUUUGAUGAUUAAAGUAGGUUUUCCCUACUUUGAAGUGUGGGCCAAUGUUGACAUUUAUGCAUGCAGUACCAAUACUUAUCUUGAGUGUUAGUUAACAUGUUCUUGUUAGUUUAUCAGAAUUACAAGAAAGUUUAGCUCACAAAAAAUGAACUGAAAUAUGAUUCAAAUAGUCAUUCCUUUGUUUUUUAAGAGGAUUUAUGAUAGAGUUUGAUGGCGUUCUAUAUUUGAGGGAUUUCUAGUAUUAAGCUGAUGCAGUGAAUCACAAUGUCUUACACAGUGAAAAGGGUUUCGUUUUUGGAGUAUUCUUUAGUUAUUGGACGCUUUGCCAUAAAUGGCCUGGUGCCAUUGGUAUAUCCUUUCAAAACACACAUGGUAGUUGAAUAAAAAAAUCACCGCUCCUUGAUGGGAUGAAGCAUUGUUUUCAAUUCAUCCUUUUAUUUUCAUAGCCAUGGUCUGUAGUUUUAUGCCAUGUUCCUAGCAUCAUCUGCAGCUUGUUCUGGUGCAACUCUACUGCUCAGCUAUCAUUUUUGUUCAGCAAAUUUAUUCAGUGGUCAACAUAUCCCAGCCACCUAUGAAAUUACAAGUGGUUCUUUUAUGCAUCGACCUGACACUAAAAAUAUCUCAAGGAUGAUGGGCAUGCCAUGUGGAAGAGGCUGACUACUGUUCUUUACUUUAUAGUAGACAGGAAACUGGUAUGCCUCGUGCAAAAAGAUGCAGAAAGAAGAUUAGUUAAAUCUUGCAUGAAAUUGAGGAAAUAUGAACGAGGUAAAGUUACAUCAUUACAUGUGCUUCCAGACAAAAUUGGAAGAAAAUGAACACCCCAUCAAAUAACAUGCCCAGAAGAUGCUAACACCUCCUAACUUUUUUGUUAGUGGUUCAUACUGGGAUAUAUUCUGAAACUUGUAUUCUGAAAACCUUUGAAAUUAAAAAUAACUUUCUAUUUUGAGAGAAGCGUUUCCCGACCCUAAUUACUAACAAAUACCAAAUAACUAGUUGCAUUUGUUAAAUACUGGUAGGAAA